AUUGAACGCUGGCGGCAGGCCUAACACAUGCAAGUCGAACGGUAACGGGAAGAAGCUUGCUUCUUUGCUGACGAGUGGCGGACGGGUGAGUAAUGUCUGGGAAACUGCCUGAUGGAGGGGGAUAACUACUGGAAACGGUAGCUAAUACCGCAUAACGUCGCAAGACCAAAAAGGGGGACCUUCGGGCCUCUUGCCAUCGGAUGUGCCCAGAUGGGAUUAGCUAGUAGGUGGGGUAACGGCUCACCUAGGCGACGAUCCCUAGCUGGUCUGAGAGGAUGACCAGCCACACUGGAACUGAGACACGGUCCAGACUCCUACGGGAGGCAGCAGUGGGGAAUAUUGCACAAUGGGCGCAAGCCUGAUGCAGCCAUGCCGCGUGUAUGAAGAAGGCCUUCGGGUUGUAAAGUACUUUCAGCGGGGAGGAAGGGAGUAAAGUUAAUACCUUUGCUCAUUGACGUUACCCGCAGAAGAAGCACCGGCUAACUCCGUG
rnacentral:rRNA from 1 species